rnacentral:rRNA from 1 species
GUGGGGAAUCUUGCGCAAUGGGCGAAAGCCUGACGCAGCCAUGCCGCGUGAAUGAUGAAGGUCUUAGGAUUGUAAAAUUCUUUCACCGGGGACGAUAAUGACGGUACCCGGAGAAGAAGCCCCGGCUAACUUCGUGCCAGCAGCCGCGGUAAUACGAAGGGGGCUAGCGUUGCUCGGAAUUACUGGGCGUAAAGGGCGCGUAGGCGGACAGUUUAGUCAGAGGUGAAAGCCCAGGGCUCAACCUUGGAAUUGCCUUUGAUACUGGCUGGCUUGAGUACGGGAGAGGUGAGUGGAACUCCGAGUGUAGAGGUGAAAUUCGUAGAUAUUCGGAAGAACACCAGUGGCGAAGGCGACUCACUGGCCCGUUACUGACGCUGAGGCGCGAAAGCGUGGGGAGCAAACAGGAUUAGAAACCCUAGUAGUCC